ACCUUAAUGCAACUUCCGCCAACGGGAACGGUCACAAGUCCGUAUGAAUGCAGAGUGAGGA
rnacentral:ribozyme from 2 species